rnacentral:rRNA from 1 species
CUCCAGACUCCUACGGGAGGCAGCAGUGGGGAAUAUUGCACAAUGGGGGAAACCCUGAUGCAGCAACGCCGCGUGAGUGAGGAAGUAUUUCGGUAUGUAAAGCUCUAUCAGCAGGGAAUAGAAAAGAAGGUACCUGAAAAAGAAGCCCCGACUAACUACGUGCCAGCAGCCGCGGUAAUACGUAGGGGGCAAGCGUUAUCCGGAUUUACUGGGUGUAAAGGGAGCGUAGACGGAAAGGCAAGUCAGAAGUGAAAGGCGGGGGCCCAACCCCCGGACUGCUUUGGAAACUGUAUAGCUAGAGUGCAGGAGAGGUAAGUGGAAUUCCUAGUGUAGCGGUGAAAUGCGUAGAUAUUAGGAGGAACACCAGUGGCGAAGGCGGCUUACUGGACUGUAACUGACGUUGAGGCUCGAAAGCGUGGGGAGCAAACAGGAUUAGAUACCCCCGUAACU